rnacentral:lncRNA from 1 species
CCGGAUCGAGGUUUGGUUGGCUCGGCGGUUUACUCUCAAGAGUCCAUCUAUAUAUAUAUAUAAACAUUCAACUGCAUCACACAGGCACAAGUCGAUGGUUGUCCUAGUGGUUUGUUUGGUAACUUUGGUCGCUUUGGUGGUAGGUUCGAUCCCCAAGUUUGCCUCAUUUUUUAAGUUAUAUAGAUAGGAUUUUUUGGUUUUAAACACUCCAAUCGACACCGACGAGGUCCCAGUUGGAACCUCACUUGCCACAAUUUUUUUUGUUUUUAACCAAUCUUUUUAUGCUGCAGUCCUUGCCACAUUUUUUGUUUUUAACCAAUCUUUUAUGCUGCAGUCCCUAGCAGGUGACGUGGAUUGGGAGAGUAGCCACCAUAGGAUAAUGAGAUAUUUUUAAAAGUAUAAAUGUUUUAUAUUUUAUGACAAUCAAAUAUUGUCAUUGAUCUAUUGUCACAAAACCCAUACAAAGUAUACUAUGAUAAUGUUUAUGACAAAGACAGAGUUUCGUCAUAAAUAGUUGUCAUCAUGUGAACGAUCGUCAUAA